GCGGUAAUACAAGGGGGCUAGCGUUUUUGGAUUUUCGGGCGUAAAGCGCACGUAGGCGGACUUUUAAGUCAGGGGUGAAAUCCCAGAGCUCAACUCUGGAACUGCCUUUGAUACUGGAAGUCUUGAGUAUGGUAGAGGUGAGUGGAAUUCCGAGUGUAGAGGUGAAAUUCGUAGAUAUUCGGAGGAACACCAGUGGCGAAGGCGGCUCACUGGACCAUUACUGACGCU
rnacentral:rRNA from 1 species